rnacentral:lncRNA from 1 species
GGGGAACCCGGCGAGGGGAGGGGGAACAGAUUACAGGCAGAGCCAAAGCAUCAUAGCAGGGGCACCCAUUCCCCAUACAGCAGAGUGAGAAAACAGAAUAAAGUAACCCAGAAUAACAAUAAAUCAAUGAGCAGUAUACAGAAUCUAUCAGAUAAAUAGCCUCAAUACAGCAACAGAUGUUAACAAGUGAUACAGCAGCUACAUAGCAUGAAGUGGUAUAGGAAAUAACACAAAAUAAACUGCCUAGCUAA